rnacentral:lncRNA from 1 species
GUGAGUGCAUAAAGAAAAGGCCAUGUGAGGACACAGCAAGAAAGUGGCCAUCUGCAAGCGCAAAAGACAGGCCUCAGAAGAACCCAACCCUAUUGACACUAUGAUCUUGGACAUCCAGCCUCCAGAACUCCGUUAACAAACCAUCUGUAUGCCUAAUAUUGAUGCUGCCUUUCCCUAGUGUACUGGACAACCUAAGACAGGGAAAUAAAGAUAAGGUUUGGAUUGAAGAGUGAGGAGCCAAAAUCAUGCAGCUUCAUGUCUCCUUAAUGGACAGAAGACUACACUGUUUUUGCUGCACCCAGAGAUAAAAUUAUUGGUUUUGGAGUACCUUCACUGAUGCCAGGGGUGUCAUCUUUACCUUCCAUCACAUAAUAUAUAUAAAGAGAAUUUUUCUUAGCUUUAAAUGAGUUGAUAAGAGGACAAGAAGAAAGUCAAGGACUCCAUUUCCAGGAUUAAAAGUGGUUUUUUUCUUUGUCUUCCAAAUCCUAGCAGUAGAAGCAUUUGAGUUCUGCAGAAAUUACUGAAGUGGUUCAAGUGUGGGCAGUCAGGACACUCAGCCCACCAUACUCAACCCCAACUCAACCUCAACUCUCAGUACGGCAGAGAGGUGGAGAACUCAGAGCUAUAACUUUCAGGAAUUCUCAAAACCUCAGACCAAAUGCAUCUUUGUUUUACCACCUGUUAAAGUAUAUCCUCAUCUGCCUCAGUGCACUUAAGUAUA